rnacentral:rRNA from 1 species
AAUUCGAUUGAGUUUGAUCCUGGCUCAGGACGAACGCUGGCGGCGUGCUUAACACAUGCAAGUCGAGCGACGCACUCUUUCGGGGGUGACGGAGCGGCGAACGGGUGAGUAACACGUGGGCAACCUGCCCUCAGCUCUGGGACAACUCCGGGAAACCGGGGCUAAUACCGGAUACGACAUCGGAUCGCAUGGUCUGGUGUGGAAAGUUUUUCGGCUGGGGAUGGGCCCGCGGCCUAUCAGCUUGUUGGUGGGGUGAAGGCCUACCAAGGCGACGACGGGUAGCCGGCCUGAGAGGGCGACCGGCCACACUGGGACUGAGACACGGCCCAGACUCCUACGGGAGGCAGCAGUGGGGAAUAUUGCGCAAUGGGCGAAAGCCUGACGCAGCGACGCCGCGUGGGGGAUGAAGGCCUUCGGGUUGUAAACCCCUUUCAGCAGGGACGAAUUCAGACGGUACCUGCAGAAGAAGCACCGGCCAACUACGUGCCAGCAGCCGCGGUAAUACGUAGGGUGCAAGCGUUGUCCGGAAUUAUUGGGGCGUAAAGAGCUCGUAGGCGGUUUGUCGCGUCGGCUGUGAAAACUUGNGGCUCAACCCCAAGCCUGCAGUCGAUACGGGCAGACUAGAGUGCGGUAGGGGAGACUGGAAUUCCUGGUGUAGCGGUGAAAUGCGCAGAUAUCAGGAGGA